AAUAGCUCACUAGUCGAGUGACACUGCGCCGAAAAUGUACCGGGGCUAAACAUAUUACCGAAGCUGUGGAUUGUCCUUUGGACAAUGGUAGGAGAGCGUUCUAAGGGCGUUGAAGCAUGAUCGUAAGGACAUGUGGAGCGCUUAGAAGUGAGAAUGCCGGUGUGAGUAGCGAAAGACGGGUGAGAAUCCCGUCCACCGAUUGACUAAGGUUUCCAGAGGAAGGCUCGUCCGCUCUGGGUUAGUCGGGUCCUAAGCUGAGGCCGACAGGCGUAGGCGAUGGAUAACAGGUUGAUAUUCCUGUACCACCUAUAAUCGUUUUAAUCGAUGGGGGGACGCAGUAGGAUAGGCGAAGCGUGCGAUUGGAUUGCACGUCUAAGCAGUAAGGCUGAGUAUUAGGCAAAUCCGGUACUCGUUAAGGCUGAGCUGUGAUGGGGAGAAGACAUUGUGUCUUCGAGUCGUUGAUUUCACACUGCCGAGAAAAGCCUCUAGAUAGAAAAUAGGUGCCCGUACCGCAAACCGACACAGGUAGUCAAGAUGAGAAUUCUAAGGUGAGCGAGCGAACUCUCGUUAAGGAACUCGGCAAAAUGACCCCGUAACUUCGGGAGAAGGGGUGCUCUUUAGGGUUAACGCCCAGAAGAGCCGCAGUGAAUAGGCCCAAGCGACUGUUUAUCAAAAACACAGGUCUCUGCUAAACCGUAAGGUGAUGUAUAGGGGCUGACGCCUGCCCGGUGCUGGAAGGUUAAGAGGAGUGGUUAGCUUCUGCGAAGCUACGAAUCGAAGCCCCAG
rnacentral:rRNA from 1 species